rnacentral:rRNA from 1 species
AUUGAACGCUGGCGGCAGGCCUAACACAUGCAAGUCGAGCGGAUGAAGGGAGCUUGCUCCUGGAUUCAGCGGCGGACGGGUGAGUAAUGCCUAGGAAUCUGCCUGCUAGUGGGGGAUAACGUCCGGAAACGGGCGCUAAUACCGCAUACGUCCUGAGGCAGAAAGUGGGGGAUCUUCGGACCUCAUGCUAUCAGAUGAGCCUAGGUCGGAUUAGCUAGCUGGUGGGGUAAGGGCCUACCAAGGCGACGAUCCGUAACUGGUCUGAGUGGAUGAUCAGUCACAUUGGAACUGAGACACGGUCCAGACUCCUACGGGAGGCAGCAGUGGGGAAUAUUGGACAAUGGGCGAAAGCCUUAUCCAGCCAUGCCGAGUGUGUGAAGAAGGUCUUCGGAUUGUAAAGCACUUUAAGUUGGGAGGAAGGGCAGUAAGUUAAUACCUUGCUGUUUUGACGUUACCAACAGAAUAAGCACCGGCUAACUUCGUG